rnacentral:rRNA from 1 species
UUAAAAUAUAAAUAAAUAUAAUUAGAGUAGUAUUAGUUAUGUUCUUAAAACUUAAAAAAUUUGGCGGUAUUUUAAUCUAUUCAGAGGAACUUGUUUUAUAAUUGAUGAUCCUCAUUGAAUCUUACUUAAAUUUGUUAAAUUUGUAUAUCGUUGUCAUAAGAAUAUCUUUAAAAAGAAAAAAUUUUCUAAUAAAAAAAUUAUUAAAUAUGUCAGAUCAAGGUGCAGUUUAUAUUUAAGAAAAAAUGAGUUACAAUUAAUUUAUUAAUUACGGAUUUUAAUUUUAAAAAAUUAAAUAAAGGUGGAUUUGAUAGUAAAUUUUUAUAGAUUAUAAAAUUGAUUUUAGUUCUAAAAUAUGC